rnacentral:rRNA from 1 species
UUUUUAAAAACUUGUACUGAAAAGAAUUUUAUAAUAUAUUAAAUUAUCUACCUUUUGCAUAAUGGUUAAAUAAUAUUUAUUAAGAUUAUAUUUCCCGAAAUUAGAAGAUCUAAUUUUAUUAUAUUUAUAGAUCUAUAUUAAUAAUGUUUCAUAAUUAUUAUAAUAAAUACAAUUAGUGGUGAAAGGCCUAUCAAUUCUAAUAAUAUCUGGAAUAAUUUUAAAUGUAUUUAGUACAGAAUAAAAUUUGAAUAAAAAAAUGUUAAGAUUUUUUUAAUAUAGUAUUAUAUAUUAAGUUAAAUUAUAUGGAUUAAUCUUUUUAUAUAUUUUAUAAUUAUUAAUAAAUAUAUUUAUUUAUCUAUAAUUAAAAUUGUAUUUUAUUAACUUAAAUUAAAAUUAAUUAUGUUUAAAUUAGUAUAAAAAUUUUUAUUAAAAUAAGGAACUCGGCAAAUUAAUAAUAGUUCAUCUGUUUAUCAAAAACAUAGUCUUAUGAGAAUAAGUUAAAUAUAAGGUAUAACCUGCCCACUGAAAAAUUUAAAUGGCCGCAGUACAUUGACUGUGCUAAGGUAGCAUAAUAAAUUGACUUUUAAUUGGGGCCUAGAAUGAAAGGGUAAAUGGGCUAUAACUGUCUUAUUUAAAUUAAUUAUAAAUUACUUCAAAAAGUGAAAAUUCUUUUAAGUUAAUAAAAUAGACGAGAAGACCCUAGGAGUUUGAAAUUUUGUUGGGGCGACAAUGUAGCAUAUAAACCUACAAUAUAUAAUUAUAAUCUAACAAUAAUUUUAAUUUAAAAUAAGCUACCCUAGGGAUAACAGCAUAAUUUAAUUUUAAGUUUGUGACCUCGAUGUUGGACUAGGAACUUUUAAAGCUAACAGCAUUAUUUGAUCUGUUCUGUUCGAACUU